rnacentral:rRNA from 1 species
AUGGCGCUGCUAACCAAUGUUUCUGUGGAUCGAAUGGAACAGCUCAAUGAGGGUUUUGCCCCUGGAUUGGACGUGCUUCAGCAAACUCUGCACACCAUCAAGAAGCUCGUUGAAGCGGCAGAAGAGUGGCCGCCGUUCGUUGCUAAUGCCCGAUACACCAUGGAGGAGAACCAGAGCCUGACAUUACAGCUCCAAGAGCUGACGGAGAAGCUUGACAAGGAGAGCAAUGCCAAGGCUCUUGUGGAGGAGGAGCUGGACAAGGAGAGGAAGGCCAAGGCUCUUGUGGAGGAGGAGGUUAGGAAGGCCAAGGCCACGUACAAGCAGCAGAGAGAUGUACAGCCAUAG